UAGUGGCGCACGGGUGCGUAACGCGUGGGAACCUACCAUCAGGUUCGGAAUAACAGUUAGAAAUGACUGCUAAUACCGGAUAAUGUCUUCGGACCAAAGAUUUAUCGCCUUUUGAUGGGCCCGCGUUGGAUUAGCUAGUUGGUGGGGUAAAGGCCUACCAAGGCGACGAUCCAUAGCUGGUCUGAGAGGAUGAUCAGCCACACUGGGACUGAGACACGGCCCAGACUCC
rnacentral:rRNA from 1 species